UACGAAGGGGGCUAGCGUUGCUCGGAAUUACUGGGCGUAAAGGGCGCGUAGGCGGAUACUUAAGUCGGGGGGUGAAAGCCCGGGGCUCAACCUCGGAAUUGCCUUCGAUACUGGGUAUCUUGAGUUCGGGAGAGGUGAGUGGAAUGCCGAGUGUAGAGGUGAAAUUCGUAGAUAUUAGGAAGAACACCGGUGGCGAAGGCGGCCCACUGGAUCGGUACUGACGCUGAGGUGCGAAAGCGUGGGGAGCAAACAGG
rnacentral:rRNA from 1 species